rnacentral:lncRNA from 1 species
AAGUUGUAUGACAACUAAAACAAAAUGGGCAAAUUAGCCCAAUAACAAAGGAUGGCCGGCCAUUAGGGUGGAUUGGCAAAGUUUGCUUAAUUACAAGUUUGCCACUCACCAAAGAAAAGGUUAUAAAAGCAACUUUAUAGCUAUUUUCUCAUUAGGGUUCUUCUUGUUGAAAUUGGGUGAAACUUUUUCUCCAUUUUCUUCUAAGGAGGCCGGCCACUAAGGGGAGGGACAUCUAGCAAUCUCUUCUUCCCUUAGUCAUCCAUAUCAUCUUCACAAGAUACAACCUUGGUGAAGAGACU